rnacentral:misc_RNA from 1 species
CCGAGAUUACAUCUCCCAAACCCCUGUGAACAUACCUUUAUAGUUGCUUCGGCGGGUCUUUGCCCUGGAAACAGGUGCCCGCCGGGGACCACAAACUCUUGAUUUUUUUACUAGAUUGUCUGAGUGGAAUCAUAUCAAAUGAAUCA